GGGGGAGGCAGGAGGGGGUGGAGUAAUGGUUUGCCUGAGAAAUUUCCACAAAGAGUGGGGAGUAUCAGACUUGGGCCCUAUGUGCUGGGUGAAUCUCUAGGCAAGCCUGUGGGCCCCAGCUGGUCUGUGUGUUGCCUCUUGGGGGCUUGUUUACACUGACAUGUCUCUAUCAGUUUUAACUGUUAAGCAGAUUUAUUUGUUACUACUGGCUUCUUUGGCUUUGAUAAUCUUGCUUUUAUCCUCCUGGGUAACAGGAGCAGUGAUGUCUGACUACGUAGUGUUUGAAACUGAGCUGUGAGAAAACACAGCCGGUACUGUUAGGUCCUUGCGGGGUUUUCCUGUUCAUGCUUUUCUCCAGAACUUUGUGCUGCUGAUGUUCAGGCUGUGGAAGCGGCCAGCGGUACCCAGCCCUCUUAUCCAGGCUGUACUCAAGACAGAAAAUCACAAGAGUCAACCUCAGGGAUUUCAUCUUCUACUUGGAACAGGAAAGAAAAACAAGCCACUAUCUUCUGCUCUAUCAAGCCUUGCUUAAAUAAAGCCAAUCAUUUCCCUGGCUUCCUCAGAGGGAAGCUCAGAUGAACAUUUAAAAUCUGUCAUUUUCAUGUGCCUUCUCUUUUUGUUUUCUCAGAUGUCAGGCUUUGGUUUAUGUAAAAAUUAAGAUGCAAUAAAUCCUCCCAGCCAGAAACGAAAGCA
rnacentral:lncRNA from 1 species